rnacentral:rRNA from 1 species
AAGCUCGUAGUUGAAUUUCGGGGUCAGUAGGUUGGUCGUGCCACUGGUAUGUACUGGUCUCACUGAUUCCUCCUUCCUGAUGAGCUGUAAUGCCAUUAAUUUGGUGUUGCAGGGAAUCUGGACUGUUACUUUGAAAAAAUUAGAGUGUUUAAAGCAGGCUAACGCUUGAAUACAUUAGCAUGGAAUAAUGAAAUAGGACGUUCGAUCCUAUUUUGUUGGUUUCUAGGAUUGACGUAAUGAUUAAUAGGGAUAGUUGGG